rnacentral:rRNA from 1 species
GAUGAACGCUGGCGGUGUGCCUAAUACAUGCAAGUCGAGCGAACAGACGAGGAGCUUACUCCUCUGACGUUAGCGGCGGACGGGUGAGUAACACGUGGAUAACCUACCUAUAAGACUGGGAUAACUUCGGGAAACCGGAGCUAAUACCGGAUAACAUGUUGAACCGCAUGGUUCAACAGUGAAAGACGGUCUUGCUGUCACUUAUAGAUGGAUCCGCGUCGCAUUAGCUAGUUGGUAAGGUAACGGCUUACCAAGGCAACGAUGCGUAGCCGACCUGAGAGGGGGACCGGCCACACUGGAACUGAGACCCGGUCCAAACUCCUAAGGGAGGCAGCAGUAGGGAAUCUUCCGCAAUGGGCGAAAGCCUGACGGAGCAACGCCGCGUGAGGUAAGAAGGUCUUCGGAUCGUAAAACUCUUUUAUUAGGGAAGGACAAAUGUGUAAGUAACUAUGCACGUCUUGACGGUUCCUAAUCAGAAAGCCACGGCUAACUACGUG